AACGAACGCUGGCGGCGUGGAUAAGACAUGCAAGUCGAACGGGAGUUUAUUUAUAGCAAUAUGAGUGAACUCUAGUGGCGAAAGGGUGCGUAACACGUAGCUACCUACCUCGAAGUUGGGGAUAGCUCGGCGAAAGCCGGAUUAAUACCGAAUGUGAUCGUGAGAUCAAAGCUGGGGAUCGUAAGACCUGGCGCUUUGAGAUGGGGCUGCGGCCUAUCAGCUAGUUGGCGGGGUAACGGCCCACCAAGGCUUGGACGGGUAGCUGGUCUGAGAGGACGACCAGCCACACUGGAACUGAGACACGGUCCAGACACCUACGGGUGGCAGCAGUCGAGGAUUUUUCUCAAUGGGGGAAACCCUGAAGGAGCGACGCCGCGUGAGGGAUGAAGGUCU
rnacentral:rRNA from 1 species